rnacentral:lncRNA from 1 species
AUCAUCUCCAUCGAUCUUUUUCUCUAGAAGUUCCUUUCUUGAUCUUUUUCUCUUUUUUUUGGAUUUCUUCUCUUCUCCUUUUCAUGGCUUCCACUGGAAGAGAAUCUGAAGAUGAGAAUCCAAUCGAUGAUCGGAGUUCUCGAGCUCCAACCGUCCAGAGGGUGAUCAAGAAGAUUACUUGGGAUGAGCCCGAUAAGGCAUCUUCUCAGCAGGGUCAGUCGGAUCUGAAUGAGUCAGAUGAACAACCAACUGUCGAGAACCUUUUUGGACCUCUUGUCG